CUCUGAUCAGUCGUCCGAGAAGCUUCCGUGGAGCGCCGCCAUAUUGGCUUCACUCGGGCCGCGUGCUUGCCGCCACAUUUCCCCUAUUGUUAGUCCUGGGGCUGGUUUGUCCGGCAUCUGUUUUUUAUUUUUGCAUCCCAUCGUGCUUGAGGGGUUCCUGUGUGUGGUCGUGAUUACUGGGGGUAAUGUAGGCUGUAUUUAGGCUUAAUUUCUCCGGUUUUAACACGGAGCUCCAGAGUUGUGCGUCCGCUCGUCUCGGCUGUCAGGCUCCGCCCCCCGUAAGAUGCCUUUUAAAGCGUUUCUAAUCGGAUUAGUGGACAUGAAAGUGCUGUGACUGGGAUAUGUUUGUGAGGUGAUAUUGUAUACCUGUGAGGUAUAAUUUUUAUGGUAUUAUGCGCUAGCUUUAGAUGUAGGUGGCAAAAAGAAGUAAAUGCCACCAUGGUGUCUAACAACCAUGGGUUACUGAUUUUGUACUCUGUGAUGAACCUGUUGAAAAUGGUAAGGGUUCGGUAAGUGCUGAUUGCGCCUUGAGUGCAUUUAUUCCAGGAUAAUGGUGCUGGAACAGCGGAGGGUUGUAUGGGUUUAUCUCUGCCAUGGGAUGUUCUUGACAGAACACCUGAAAGUUAGAGCGAGACAGGGCAUCAGCUGUGGUGUUGUGGUGGCCCGGUAUGUGCUUGCAUGUGAGGUGAAAGUGUAGAGUGGCUGCCAACCAUACUAGUCUCCUGGUUAUCCUCAUUAUGGUCAAAGUGGAAGAUCUGCCUUUGUUGAUAAUUUUGCAUGUGGCUUGUAAUGAUUAGUGGGACAGACUUGUGUUUUUCUACUGUCAGGAAGUCAUCUAGAUAGUGGAUAACCACUGGACAACCCCCUAUAUUUAACUACAACCAACAUCUCAGUCUCAGCGAAUAAAUCGAAUAACUUUGGGCUGCUUUUUGCUUCAUGUAGAUGCCACAGUGACUGGCGUAUUGGGAGCAGCUUGAAGGUAUUGGAAAUGUCUGUUUAACCUAGCCAGGCUGCUUUCCCUGCCUCCAAUAUCGCCUGUAUAGCGUUGUCUACUGUGGCAUACUGCAGGGAGAAUUCAUCUGACGGUGUGCGUGCGUUGAGGCUAGGUGUGUCAACAGAAUAAGGAGCCGAUAGGUCUAUGAUCAAGCGUUUUUUAUUGUUGUACUUCUCUGUGGCAAUACCUAUAGGAUUGGUACGCCAGCAGGGGAAUGGGGGCGUAUGGAAUGGCCCGAUCAUGAAGCCUUUCUGGACUUCGUUAUGAAGGGGUGUAUCCACUGUGGUGGGGUAUAAAGUUGCCGACUGUAGGUUGUUACACUUAAGCGUACCUAUGGGGAGUGCAAUUAGCCCACUGUGGAACCCUUCGGUGAAGCCCGUGAUAAGGAAAUUGACUAGGUGCGGGGAUGGGUGAGUGACGAGGUAAAAGGCUAGUGUAUCAACCUGUUCCUCCGUUAGUCAUUUUUUUGGGAAUAGACGAUUAGGGCACAUUGUUUUUGCGUGGGCUCUAAAGCAGAUGGCAAAAACAAUGUGCCCUAACCUGCAGGCACUGAAACUGCAACCGCCCGCGUUGAAGUUGUUGCAUACCUGUGCCUUCCCCAGAAAGACUAUCGGUCUACCCAAUUUGUCCCUUAAACCUCUUUGUUCAAACGUGCUGGUGCUUGGUGUACUAUAGCUAGUAGUGGGUAAGCUGGGUUCGAUGGGGCACAAGUUGGUAGUGUGGGAAUUAGACGAGCAGGUAGCACAAGCUAGAAUAACUCAGUGUCCACGUGACUCCAGUUUAUCCUUAUAUUAAACUGAGCUUUAGCCGAGAAGGACUUGUGAUAGUCGUAAAAUGUAGUCUACCAACUUGUGCAUGUAGAGGUCUAACUCCUCUCUGCGUUGUGGGAAAUUAAAGCAGAUAAUGUCUCUGUAGAGACCGAAGGCUAGCACAAAGUCCAGGAUGAACCGGUUUUUUUUGUCCAACUUGUGGUCUUUAGCCUUAAGUACCACAGACACGUCAACGUAGUUGUACGUCUUGUUGUCAAUUAUGUCUUGGGACGCUAUCAGGAGUAACAUAAGAUUCACAUCCUUACCCUCUAAUAUAUCCUUUUUUAUAUUGGGUGGGACCAUGUGUGCAGGGGUGAUUAUGUGCGUGUCUGACCCCUGUGCAGGUGGCGUGAAAGUGGCAUUACCUUGUGUGGCUGCAAUUAGUAUGGUGGUUGCGAGAUCUGUGGAGUUCACGUUAGCUGGGGUUGAGGAUUCCAGCUUCUCCAUUCUCUGGUCCAAGUUAUUGAUAGACGCCAGCAUUGCUUACAUUGUGGUUUGGAUCCCGGCUAGAGUAUCGCCAAUGCUGGCUUGCGAGCUAGGCAAAGGUAGAGUCGGCCAUUAGUAAUUUAUAAAGUUCCGCUUUCCUGGCGGUGGCUGGGUACGAAAUUCCUCUACACCUUAGUUCAGAGGCUAUCUUUGGGAUUGUCCAUAAUCUCAUGGAACAGGGGCUUGAAGUCUGUAAAUUCUCGCUUAUGGUGGUUGUUAUGGUUGGAGUAGCUGGUCUGGCCGGAGUACUUGGUAAUGAGAAAUCCUCUCCUUAAUCCGACAGGUGAGACAUGCUAUAAAUGACAUUUGACAAUGUAUAGUAGUAACGUAGUGAUUAUUCUUGGGUUGUAACUUUAUAAAGGCCAGACGGCAAAGAACUUAAUUACAUUUGGGGAGAUGAGACCCUGCUAAUUGCCAAGAGGUUGAAUAGAGGCUCUAGCUAUGAUUUAGUCCUGACUGUUCCAUAAAUUGAUGGCGGGGUAUAUGACUCUGAGCUGUGAACUGGAAGACAGAGGGGAGAAGAAGAGUGAGACUAUCUACACCCCGAUUGGGGUGUGCGUGACCCUAUCAAAGGAUUGGGUCGUGGGGCGUACAGUACCUCCGCGUGAGGAUGGUUAUAAGUCUAGUUUGUGACAAUCUACGUUCUGAUCUUGGGUGACUUAUCAGUUAAUGGUGUUUGGGCAAGGUGGCCGUGUGUACCUGUAAGCUAACGGAGGGUCUUAUUCCGUGACGUAGUAAGUGAGCGGAUGAACACAGUUGUCUGUGAGACCUAAAAUAAACACUGU